rnacentral:rRNA from 1 species
UUGAUCCUGGCUCAGAUUGAACGCUGGCGGCAUGCCUUACACAUGCAAGUCGAACGGCAGCAUGAUCUAGCUUGCUAGAUUGAUGGCGAGUGGCGAACGGGUGAGUAAUACAUCGGAACGUGCCCUGUAGUGGGGGAUAACUAGUCGAAAGAUUAGCUAAUACCGCAUACGACCUGAGGGUGAAAGUGGGGGACCGCAAGGCCUCAUGCUAUAGGAGCGGCCGAUGUCUGAUUAGCUAGUUGGUGAGGUAAAGGCUCACCAAGGCGACGAUCAGUAGCUGGUCUGAGAGGACGAUCAGCCACACUGGGACUGAGACACGGCCCAGACUCCUACGGGAGGCAGCAGUGGGGAAUUUUGGACAAUGGGGGCAACCCUGAUCCAGCAAUGCCGCGUGUGUGAAGAAGGCCUUCGGGUUGUAAAGCACUUUUGUCCGGAAAGAAAUCGCACUUACUAAUAUUAGGUGUGGAUGACGGUACCGGAAGAAUAAGGACCGGCUAACUACGUGCCAGCAGCCGCGGUAAUACGUAGGGUCCAAGCGUUAAUCGGAAUUACUGGGCGUAAAAGCGUGCGCAGGCGGUUGUGCAAGACCGAUGUGAAAUCCCCCGGCUUAACCUGGGAAUUGCAUUGGUGACUGCACGGCCAGAGUGUGUCAGAGGGGGGUAGAAUUCCAUGUGUAGCAGUGAAAUGCGUAGAGAUGUGGAGNNAUACCGAUGNNNAGGCAGCCCCCUGGNNNACANUGACGCUCAUGCACGAAAGCGUGGGAGCAAACAGGAUUAGAUACCCUGGUAGUCCACGCCCUAAACGAUGUCAAACUAGUUGUUGGGGAUUCAUUUCCUUAGUAACGUAGCUAACGCGUGAAGUUGACCGCCUGGGGAGUACGGUCGCAAGAUUAAAACUCAAAGGAAUUGACGGGGACCCGCACAAGCGGUGGAUGAUGUGGAUUAAUUCGAUGCAACGCGAAAAACCUUACCUACCCUUGACAUGCCACUAACGAAGCAGAGAUGCAUUAGGUGCUCGAAAGAGAAAGUGGACACAGGUGCUGCAUGGCUGUCGUCAGCUCGUGUCGUGAGAUGUUGGGUUAAGUCCCGCGACGAGCGCAACCCUUGUCUCUAGUUGCUACGAAAGGGCACUCUAGAGAGACUGCCGGUGACAAACCGGAGGAAGGUGGGGAUGACGUCAAGUCCUCAUGGCCCUUAUGGGUAGGGCUUCACACGUCAUACAAUGGUGCAUACAGAGGGUUGCCAAGCCGCGAGGUGGAGCUAAUCCCAGAAAAUGCAUCGUAGUCCGGAUCGUAGUCUGCAACUCGACUACGUGAAGCUGGAAUCGCUAGUAAUCGCGGAUCAGCAUGCCGCGGUGAAUACGUUCCCGGGUCUUGUACACACCGCCCGUCACACCAUGGGAGUGGGUUUUGCCAGAAGUAGUUAGCCUAACCGCAAGGGG